GACAGAACUGCUCUGUCUGUUAACCAAGCUAGUUCUGAGACAGAACUGCUCUGUCUGUUAACCAGGCUAGUUCUGAGACAGAACUGCUCUGUCUGUUAACCAGGCUGCGAUAACAAUACUGAGAGGUUUAACCAGGCUAGUUCUGAGUGAUCCAGCUGAUCCGAAUGUGAAGAAGCAGAUUAACCUUUACGUUCUCCGUGGAGGACAUUGAUAUCUUGGUUGCCUUGGUGACAUACUAGUUAGUAGUUGUAUAUAUUUCUGCUCCAUCAACUCAAAAGGGUUGUCAGUCAAAGUCAGACUGUCUCCUCUAUUGUGUGUGAAUACAGUGCAUAUCAAACUUAUUUUUAGGGCAGAAUGUCUGUUAUUUUAUUUCCUUACUCUUGUCUGAAGUCUGUCUAUUUCUAAUGGUUGCCCUGAGAAACGAGGGGAAUUAAUUAGUCAGCGAUUGAUUAAAGAAAACUGGACAAGUUCUACAUUUUAAGAGACUGAUUUUUGACCGUACAGGUAACUAACUGUCUUACUAACAGUCAAAGGGAAACUAACAUGCCUGCUAUAUUGUUUAGCUGAGAGAACAUUCUGUAUAACAAAGAUUGGAUCAUUUUCCAGUGCUUGCAAUUGGCUUUCAUGUAGAGAAUGGGAUUCAGAACAACAGUAUCCCUUUAUAUCUCAGCAACUAUAUGAGAAGAUGCUCAAUCUUCUUGUGCUGUAAUUUAACCAGUUUUCCUGUGGUCUUUGACUUCAAGGUUGUCUUAACAGAGACAUCAACUGUUAACUCAUGUCAGCGUCAUUCUGAAGACUAGAAUUAACAUUGUAUUCAUAGACAUACACAAACCACAACACACAAAACUGACUGCCAGAUAGUGACUCGGAUCACUAUAUCAAUACAUUUUAUAUCUAGGGUAUUUAUAAUGGUUCACACAGUGAAUUUUUCCAAAUAAAAAAAACUAAGAACAAAAACAGUAACAAUGUAUUGUGCAAAAAUAAUAAUUCAGUUGAAUUCUCCAAAACUCCUCAGAAUCCUGAUGUAGAAAAUCCUCAUGAAGAUUGUCCAUCAUUCCAAUAAACUCUGCUUGUCUGUGCAUGCUACCUUAUUGGUUCUAAUCCUGUAGGUAAUAGUUUAAAAAUGAAUAAAAUAGAAAGGCUAUUUUAAAAGAUGCAUAUUUAAAAAGCUAACUGUGGAUGGUAUGGGGAAGGCUGGUGCAAGGUCGUCGUCUUGCCUCCACUGGCUGUGCUGGAAGGAAGGCGUUGGGAUCGCUUUCCUCUUUCUUUUUGCAAGCUUCAUGACUGUUCUUAAAUCUUUUGUUUUAAGUGCAAUAUACUUCUCUAUCUAUCUUUAGGAACAUAGAACUUCAGCAGAUUUAUUGUCAAAGGGGGAAAGUGUGGUGAUCAUCAAUAAAACAUGUAUUGAAGAAUACAAAAA